UACGUAGGGUGCGAGCGUUAAUCGGAAUUACUGGGCGUAAAGCGCGCGUAGGCGGCUUUGCAAGUCGGGUGUGAAAUCCCCAGGCUUAACCUGGGAACUGCAUUCGAGACUGCAUUGCUAGAGUAUGGGAGAGGGAAGUGGAAUUCCCGGUGUAGUGGUGAAAUGCGUAGAUAUCGGGAGGAACACCAGUGGCGAAGGCGACUUCCUGGCCUGUUCUUGACGCUGAGGCGCGAAAGCUAGGGGAGCAAACGGG
rnacentral:rRNA from 1 species